CCCCCCUUCCUGGCCUCAGACCCCAGCUGAGGUUUUCCCUGGGGGGGGGAGGGGGGAGGGCAGUCCCUACUGCUGCCCCAUUCCCUCACCCCCCCAACCCUUCUCUGCUGAAGCAGAUAGCAUAGCCCAGUCCAGGGCUAGAAAGUGUGCUGGGAUGCCAGGGAACUCUGAUUUAACUUAAACCAGGAAGGGGCCUGGGACCAAAAUUUCAUAAACUGGUUUGACCCAAAUCAGGAAAACGUGGGUAAAUAAGCCUCUCUCCCCACUACUUAGUCAAGGCAGGCUUUUCUACCUCUUGGAUCUGGAGAUUGCAUGCAAUGAAGCAAUUACUUUCCACUUAUCUCCACAGGCAAAUGGCAUGUGCUUCCCAGUCUGUUGUGAAAAAUCCAGCCCUCCGAUCAACACCAAGGUGGUGAAAGCAGGCCCAACCCUUGACGUCCUGAUCAGCAAAGGGAUAAGCAGGCAGGAAAAGCUGGACGCUCCACCUUCUGGGAACUCUGGUUGACUAGAGCUGGCAGGAAACCUUGCCCAUACUCCCUGCUACAAGAAAGGUUGUGUUCAUCUGUGGCUGUUGCAGAGACAUAGUAGGAAAAGACUUGGAAUUUUAGGCUUGGAGAUAGGAGCCCUCUGCCAGGCUGCAACAGGACCUGUAAGCCUGCGCUACACGUGAGAAUUGCCUGAAGCCCAAAGUGAAGAAAACCCCUGAUAAAAAACUUAUGCAUGGGUGGGGACAAAAGGAGAGCCUGGGAGCUGUUUUCUUGCUGUUAAAGGACAACUGGUGCUGACACAAGCUGGCAAAUUAAGUUACUGUUAAUAAAAAUGAAUUGCUGCCUGGGAUGAGAACUAUCUGUAGGAUUUCUGUCUCAGUGCAAGAAGUUUAGAAUGACUGACUAGAAUGAAGGUCCACACUGUAACUGUUUAUGGAGUUAGACAGGUCUGUGCAAUCAGUAAUGAAGCUAGCCAAAACCCAAGCUUAUUCCUCUUUAACCUUUAGAUUUUCCUGCUGCAGACCCACUGUAUGGACCACUCACUCUGAAGUGUGGUUUUCUGCACUGUCUUCCCAGAUCCUGAUCCUCCUCACACUAGUUCAGUUGCAUUCAGGUGUUCUGCAACCCUUGGUUGGUUGGUAAAUUAGGUCCUAAAUAAGGCUCCCAGUUCCCUUCUAUGACCUGGAGCGGCUGUCCUGGUCAUCAAGUCAUAUGAUACAACUUACCCAAAAAGCAACUUCACCGUGCUGAAAAUUAUAUUAAAAAUCCUGAUAUCAUUAAGCUUGACAGGCUCUUAAAACAUGCUAGUAGCUUGAAGGAAUUUGUGACUCUAAAAAGAAGGAAUUUUUCAGGGUUUGUGCUACAUGCAGAUUUGUUGCGAUACAAACUUUGAGAAACCCGGGCCAGAAUUUAUAUUAAUGUUCUAAUACGUAGUUAUUAAACAAUGGCCAACACAUGUUCUAAACAUAUUACAAACUUCAGUAUUAUAUAUUAGAGAUGACUGUAAAUCAUGGCUAUAACAAUCAACUGACCUGCUAUGCUCUGUAAUAAUAACAUUUUUAUUGAAAGAUGUACAAAUUGUAUUAACCCUGAUGACAGUGUUUGUAAAUGGAACUUUAAUACAAAGUAU